AAGUGUUUUAGCUCUUUGAGCAUUUGUCUAGCAGGUUUUCCAGUUGCUACCAGAAAGCCACC
rnacentral:snRNA from 1 species